rfam:Triticum urartu cultivar G1812 contig272837, whole genome shotgun sequence.
UACGUACUCCCUUCGUUCCAAAUUACUUGUCUUAGAUUUAUCUAGAUACGGAGGUAUCUAGCACUAAAAUGAGUCUAGAUACAUUCAUAUCUAGACAAAUCCAAAAUAAGUAAUUCGGAACGGAGGGAGUACGUA